rnacentral:snoRNA from 1 species
CUUCGGUGAUGAUACGAUGACGAGUCGGAAUGGGACAGUCGGUCUCUGCAGUCACUGGGUCAGGGACACGUUCUGUGUCUCUGGGUUCAGUUCCCCAGAGCAGCGUGUCUCUUCAGUUGAAGACAUCGAGGCAUUUGUCUGAGAAGG